rnacentral:lncRNA from 1 species
AGAACUUGCGUCUCGGCCUAACCAAGGAGGAAAACGCUGUUCGCGACGAACAAUAUAUUCGGGUUCGUCAUACUUCUCUACGCGCUUCCUUGACCUUUAAUUAUUGAAUUCAGUUUGUCAUUAACCUUUAUUCAACUAAAUGUUUUUUUGUUUAAUUUUAGAAUUAUAUACGACGUUUAGCUAGCUAAUUAAUGUUUUACUUUCCAUAUUCUACUAGUUUUUUUGCUUAAAUAGUCUACUAGUUUU